rnacentral:rRNA from 1 species
UACCAGCACCCCGAGUGGUCGGGACGAUUAUUGGGCCUAAAGCAUCCGUAGCCGGUUCUGCAAGUCCCCCGUUAAAUCCAGCUGCUCAACAGAUGGGCCGCGGAGGAUACUACAGAGCUAGGAGGCAGGAGAGGCAAGCGGUACUCAGUGGGUAGGGGUAAAAAUCCGUUGAUCCAUUGAAGACCACCAGUGGCGAAGGCGGCUUGCCAGAACGCGCUCGACGGUGAGGGAUGAAAGCUGGGGGGAGCAAACCGG